UACAGAGGGGGCAAGCGUUAUUCGGAAUUAUUGGGCGUAAAGCGCGUGUAGGCGGCUUUGCAAGUCGGGUGUGAAAGCCCUCAGCUCAACUGAGGAAGUGCGCCCGAAACUGCAGAGCUUGAGUACCGGAGAGGAUGGCGGAAUUCCCCAAGUAGAGGUGAAAUUCGUAGAUAUGGGGAGGAACACCGGUGGCGAAGGCGGCCAUCUGGACGGAUACUGACGCUGAGACGCGAAAGCGUGGGUAGCAAACAGG
rnacentral:rRNA from 1 species